CCUACGGGCGGCAGCAGUGAGGAAUAUUGGUCAAUGGCCGAGAGGCUGAACCAGCCAAGUCGCGUGAGGGAAGACGGCCCUACGGGUUGUAAACCUCUUUUGUCGGUGAGCAAAGCGGGUCCCGUGUGACUCAUUGAGAGUACCCGAAGAAAAAGCAUCGGCUAACUCCUGCCCAGCAGCCGCGGUAAUACGGAGGAUGCGAGGGUUAUCCGGAUUUAUUGGGUUAAAAGGGUGGUAAGGCGUGGGUGCAAGUCAGCGGUCAAAUUGCGGGCUCAACCCCGUACCGCCGUUGAAACUGCAUCCCUUGAGUGCGCGAGAAGUAUGCGGAAGGCGUGGUGUAGCGGUGAAAUGCAUAGAUAUCACGCAGAACUCCGAUUGCGAAGGCAGCAUACCGGCGCGCAACUGACGCUCAUGCACGAAAGCGUGGGUAUCGAACAGGAUUAGAUACCCCUGUAGUC
rnacentral:rRNA from 1 species